AAGCAUUUGCAUGUAUCACAUGGCUAGGAACGCCCGACUUGCUGAAAUAGGAUUGACCAGUGACUUCUGACUCUUUCUUCCACUCAGCCCUUCUCUUGUUUGUGAACAGGGUCUCAUGGUAUAGCUAAAGCUGGCCUUGCAUGUGUAGUCCUCCUGCCUCAUCUUCCCAAGUGCUGGGAUUUGGAGGAGAUUUUAACUGUCCUGUUGAAUGUGCCUUGUGGUCAGACUUAAAAGGGGAGGACAGGCACUGGAACAAAAUGAACUCCCCAGCCUAAGUGAUCCAGGUGAAUGAAUGGCUUCUGGAGUUUACCUUCAUUGUUGCUGCAACACAGUAGGUCAGACUUCAUGUGUCCUUCCGGAACAGACUUCAAAAUAUUCCAAGCAUCAAAGUGCAUGAGCCCAGCCAGGGAUUUCCCGUUAAUAGCAAGAAUUUCAUCUCCAGCUUCUAUUGUUCCUGCUUGUUCUGCUGCACCACCUGUUAGAACAAAUACAGAAUAAGAGGGGUCCAUCUCCAGCCACAGACGAUCUGCCUCCAUCCAGACUCAGUCCCAGUCCAGCCGAGGUCUUCAGCACUUCAACGCACAGAGCCUCGUGUGGAAAAUCUUUGGUGCCCAAACAGAAAUUCCCGAAGACAAAUGACCCUUGUCAAGCUCUACAUUCUGGUGGUCCACAUCUCAGGGAGGAUGGAAGUCACACUGAGGGAACAAAUUGACUUCCUGCCACGCCUGGCUACCACGGCAAUAGAGGGUCACCAUCUGGUACUGAAAUGAGCAGCACCAAAGUGGCCAGUGUCAUGUGAGACUGUCCUAAUUACCUGCGAAGCACCAGACCAGGCAGAACUUCCUUCCUUGCCCCAUACCCUUUCUGCUCUCAGAGGGGUUGCCCUGCCUCUGGAUACAACUUUUCUUCCUCACACACUGACUGUCUUUAUUGGCUUCAGGCUCCACUGUGGGGGGAAGUGUUUCCAUAGUGAUGCUUGCUCCACAGCAACCAACUUGCAUCCACUGUGUGCUAGUUUAGAGAGGCGAGGCUGGCGUCUGCACAGGGACUGUAAAUUUGCCUUUUAAUUUCUCUGACUUAGUUUUGUACAAGCCAAACAUGUUAGAGUUGUAUGGAAAGGUGCUCUUAGCUGCCUGGGAGGCAGGGGGAGGCUCAUAAAAGUAUCAAACUGCACACUUAACAUAUUCGUUAGAGUUGAGGCCAAGCUACCAUCAUCACCUUUGAACAUAAAGAUCAGUCCAUUAUUGUGGUGUAAAGAAAGUGAAUACUAAUACUGGGAAUAACAUGCUCUUCCCCCCACCCCUAGGGAUCGAACGCAGGAGCUUGUGUGUGCCAGGCAGGUGCAGUGCCACUGAGCCACAUCCCCGGCACUUCAGCAUGCUUUUUAAAUAUGUGACUUUACUUGCUAUUGAACAGAAAAAGGUCUGUUAGAGUGGCUGCCUCCUGGAAUCAUCUGGGAAUAUUACAGAGGUAUUACUGUUGGACCCCUCAGUAUUUCUAGUUUAAUUUAGCAAGGAAACUUCUUGGACAUCAGGGUUUUAAGAAAGCUUUCUACUGUAAUCCCAGCAUUUCAGAGGCUGAGGCAGGAGGAUCGUCAUGAAUUUGAGGCUGGUCUAGGCUACACAGUCCAAGUCCAGCCUGGACUACUUAGUGAGAUUCGGCCCCUGCAAAGCUUUCUAGGUGUCUGCUAUGUCAAAGUCAGAUAUUCUGUGUGUAUGGUAAGGAAUACAAUUGCAUAGGAUGAGCUGGGCCCACAGUAGGGGGACCACAGAGAAUAGGAAUAAACUUAAGCUUUCAGGGGCUUACAACUUGGUCUGGAUCAAGGCCAGACCCCAAGGGUGCGACAGGAGUGCCUCGUGAUUGUAAAUGAUAGUAGGGAAGUCUAUAUCUGAGCUUCCAAGUCUCACGUGCUGUGGAAGCUCAGGAUGCAGUGCCACGUGUUUCCCUGGAUCAACCAAAUGCCCAGGACGCCAGUGAAAAUGCACCGAGCAGCUGAGUCAGAUGGGCCAAAGGUGAGCAUGAAUGGGUCUGAUGACCAAGGAGCCCCACUAUCAGGAAGGCUCUGCUUUCUGGAGGACAGAAAGUGUCCCUGUGCUGCUGCAGAGGCAUGUGUCUCAGCGGAGUUCGUUCAGUGGAGCUUGCACAAAUAGCUCAGGCCACAGUGAAGCCCUGUAGAGUUCAGGCAUUAGCUACCCUUGACAUCAUCAAGAGAGGCACUGAGAAGGAACAAAAAGCCCACCCUAGAAGGUCGUGGAUAACCUGAACCUCUGUGGACUCUGCCUCCUGGACUAGAGAGUGCCGCCAAGCCUGAUGCGGAGGUAGAGGGCCCCCAUGGAAGGCUGAGGUGCUGAUUGGAAGGCUGUGAUCAGCCAGUGCAUCAGAAACGAGCCUCUGGUAUUGAGGCAUUGAGCAGCACAUUGUGGAGGCACAGAGAAAACUCUCUGAGCCCUGUCUAGCAGGCUCCUCUUGGAUGAUGAAGGCUGCAGUUCUUGUUUUCAAACACAGUAAGAUAUCUGCUCCCUCAUUUCCUAAAUUCUUCUAAAACAGGAGAGCCAAACUUGAUGUUUUCCAGGGACACUGCUCAUUCUGGAAUUUUUCCAUCAAGAUUGAUCUCCCUGUGACAAGAUUUCCUUCUUUUACGUACCAGCCACUUAAGUCCUUACAAGCAGAUGUAAAUACGAAAGGGCUUUCUUCUUAGGAGAUUUAGAGAAGUUGCCAAGCAAUCAUUUAAGAUCCUCAAUAGUUAGUAUGGCUUUUAGUACUGAUCUUGCAAAACACUAGACGUCACUACAUUUAAUUUUUCUGCCCCAAGAAUUAACCAUUCUUUUCUUUUGUAUUCAUCGAGGAUCUAUCAGCUGCUCAUAUCCUGCUAGUUGUUAAACUGCUCUUACCAGUUC